UUGGUUGCAGCUGUAUAAAAGAUCUGAACAGGUGUGGCUGUCACUUGGGUGCAGCUGUAUAAAAGAUCUGAACAGGUGUGGCUGUCACUUGGGUGCAGCUGUAUAAAAGAUCUGAACAGGUGUGGCUGUCACUUGGGUGCAGCUGUAUAAAAGAUCUGAACAGGUGUGGCUGUCACUUGGAUGCAGCUGUAUAAAAGAUCUGAACAGGUGUGGCUGUCACAGGUGUGGCUGUCACUUGGGUGCAGCUGUAUAAAAGAUCUGAACAGGUGUGGCUGUCACUUGGGUGCAGCUGUAUAAAAGAUCAGAACAGGUGUGGCUGUCACUUGGGUGCAGCUGUAUAAAAGAUCUGAACAGGUUAAAGCAGUAUUGUGGGUUUAAUGGCUGGUCAUCAGCUCCAUCAUGCAUCCAAUGGAGAAGCUCCUUUUGGACACUCAGACUCCUCACUGUUGUAGCACAAAACUCAACCUGACGCAGUAACCACGGUUACAGCUUUUCACUGGCAUUUAGGCAGGCAUUGGGCAACACCAGAGAUUUUAUUUUAUUUUAUUGACUGACUGCUUUUCCUUGAGUGAUUUCAUGAAAUAAAUUAAGUUAUUGUGUAUCAAGCCGUUUUGAAAACAUCCGUAAGUGUUUAAUAUAAGGAAUAAAUUAUGUAUACACCAUGAA